rnacentral:rRNA from 1 species
CAGCUAAGAAUCUUCCGCAAUGGGCGAAAGCCUGACGGAGCGAUGCCGCGUGAUCGAUGAAGGUCGAGAGAUUGUAAAGAUCUUUUCCACAUGAGGAAUAAGUCUUGGAGGGAAUGCCAGGAUGAUGACGUUAGUGUGGGAAUAAGCCCCGGCUAAUUACGUGCCAGCAGCCGCGGUAACACGUAAGGGGCGAGCGUUGUUCGGAAUUAUUGGGCGUAAAGGGCACGCAGGCGGCCUGACAAGUCUGAUGUGAAAGACCUGGGCUUAACUCAGGGAACGCGUUGGAAACUGUCAAGCUAGAGUAUUAGAGGGGGAGUUGGAAUUCCUAGUGUAGGGGUGAAAUCUGUUGAUAUUAGGAAGAACACCGGUGGCGAAGGCGAACUCCUGGCUGAAUACUGACGCUGAGGUGCGAAAGCAUAGGGAGCAAACAGGAUUAGA